rnacentral:rRNA from 1 species
AUCCCGUCCACCGAUUGACUAAGGUUUCCAGAGGAAGGCUCGUCCGCUCUGGGUUAGUCGGGACCUAAGCUGAGGCCGAAAGGCGUAGGCGAUGGACAACAGGUUGAUAUUCCUGUACCACCUCAAUUCGUUUUAAGCGAUGGGGGGACGCAGUAGGAUAGGCGAAGCGUACGAUUGGAUUGUACGUCCAAGCAUGUGGAGCGCUUAGAAGUGAGAAUGCCGGUGUGAGUAGCGAAAGACGGGUGAGGAUCCCGUCCACCGAUUGACUAAGGUUUCCAGAGGAAGGCUCGUCCGCUCUGGGUUAGUCGGGACCUAAGCUGAGGCCGAAAGGCGUAGGCGAUGGACAA